UACAGAGGUCCCAAGCGUUGUUCGGAUUCACUGGGCGUAAAGGGUGCGUAGGCGGUCGGGUAAGUCUGGCGUGAAAUCUCCAAGCCUAACUUGGAAACUGCGUUGGAUACUAUCCGGCUCGAGGAAUGGAGGGGAGACUGGAAUACUUGGUGUAGCGGUGGAAUGCGCAGAUAUCAGGAGGAACACCGGUGGCGAAGGCGGGUCUCUGGGCAGUAACUGACGCUGAGGAGCGAAAGCGUGGGGAGCGAACAGG
rnacentral:rRNA from 1 species